CCCCGGUUAGCUUAGUUGGUAGAGCGCUCAACUGGAGAUGGAAAGGUCCCGGGUUCGAUACCCGAACCAGGCG
rnacentral:tRNA from 1 species